rnacentral:rRNA from 1 species
AAUGGGUCAGCGACUUAUAUUCUGUAGCAAGGUUAACCGAAUAGGGGAGCCGAAGGGAAACCGAGUCUUAACUGGGCGUUAAGUUGCAGGGUAUAGACCCGAAACCCGGUGAUCUAGCCAUGGGCAGGUUGAAGGUUGGGUAACACUAACUGGAGGACCGAACCGACUAAUGUUGAAAAAUUAGCGGAUGACUUGUGGCUGGGGGUGAAAGGCCAAUCAAACCGGGAGAUAGCUGGUUCUCCCCGAAAGCUAUUUAGGUAGCGCCUCGUGAAUUCAUCUCCGGGGGUAGAGCACUGUUUCGGCAAGGGGGUCAUCCCGACUUACCAACCCGAUGCAAACUGCGAAUACCGGAGAAUGUUAUCACGGGAGACACACGGCGGGUGCUAACGUCCGUCGUGAAGAGGGAAACAACCCAGACCGCCAGCUAAGGUCCCAAAGUCAUGGUUAAGUGGGAAACGAUGUGGGAAGGCCCAGACAGCCAGGAUGUUGGCUUAGAAGCAGCCAUCAUUUAAAGAAAGCGUAAUAGCUCACUGGUCGAGUCGGCCUGCGCGGAAGAUGUAACGGGGCUAAACCAUGCACCGAAGCUGCGGCAGCGACACUAUGUGUUGUUGGGUAGGGGAGCGUUCUGUAAGCCUGUGAAGGUGUACUGUGAGGUAUGCUGGAGGUAUCAGAAGUGCGAAUGCUGACAUAAGUAACGAUAAAGCGGGUGAAAAGCCCGCUCGCCGGAAGACCAAGGGUUCCUGUCCAACGUUAAUCGGGGCAGGGUGAGUCGACCCCUAAGGCGAGGCCGAAAGGCGUAGUCGAUGGGAAACAGGUUAAUAUUCCUGUACUUGGUGUUACUGCGAAGGGGGGACGGAGAAGGCUAUGUUGGCCGGGCGACGGUUGUCCCGGUUUAAGCGUGUAGGCUGGUUUUCCAGGCAAAUCCGGAAAAUCAAGGCUGAGGCGUGAUGACGAGGCACUACGGUGCUGAAGCAACAAAUGCCCUGCUUCCAGGAAAAGCCUCUAAGCAUCAGGUAACAUCAAAUCGUACCCCAAACCGACACAGGUGGUCAGGUAGAGAAUACCAAGGCGCUUGAGAGAACUCGGGUGAAGGAACUAGGCAAAAUGGUGCCGUAACUUCGGGAGAAGGCACGCUGAUAUGUAGGUGAAGUCCCUCGCGGAUGGAGCUGAAAUCAGUCGAAGAUACCAGCUGGCUGCAACUGUUUAUUAAAAACACAGCACUGUGCAAACACGAAAGUGGACGUAUACGGUGUGACGCCUGCCCGGUGCCGGAAGGUUAAUUGAUGGGGUUAGCGCAAGCGAAGCUCUUGAUCGAAGCCCCGGUAAACGGCGGCCGUAACUAUAACGGUCCUAAGGUAGCGAAAUUCCUUGUCGGGUAAGUUCCGACCUGCACGAAUGGCGUAAUGAUGGCCAGGCUGUCUCCACCCGAGACUCAGUGAAAUUGAACUCGCUGUGAAGAUGCAGUGUACCCGCGGCAAGACGGAAAGACCCCGUGAACCUUUACUAUAGCUUGACACUGAACAUUGAGCCUUGAUGUGUAGGAUAGGUGGGAGGCUUUGAAGUGUGGACGCCAGUCUGCAUGGAGCCGACCUUGAAAUACCACCCUUUAAUGUUUGAUGUUCUAACGUUGGCCCGUUAUCCGGGUUGCGGACAGUGUCUGGUGGGUAGUUUGACUGGGGCGGUCUCCUCCUAAAGAGUAACGGAGGAGCACGAAGGUUGGCUAAUCCUGGUCGGACAUCAGGAGGUUAGUGCAAUGGCAUAAGCCAGCUUGACUGCGAGCGUGACGGCGCGAGCAGGUGCGAAAGCAGGUCAUAGUGAUCCGGUGGUUCUGAAUGGAAGGGCCAUCGCUCAACGGAUAAAAGGUACUCCGGGGAUAACAGGCUGAUACCGCCCAAGAGUUCAUAUCGACGGCGGUGUUUGGCACCUCGAUGUCGGCUCAUCACAUCCUGGGGCUGAAGUAGGUCCCAAGGGUAUGGCUGUUCGCCAUUUAAAGUGGUACGCGAGCUGGGUUUAGAACGUCGUGAGACAGUUCGGUCCCUAUCUGCCGUGGGCGCUGGAGAACUGAGGGGGGCUGCUCCUAGUACGAGAGGACCGGAGUGGACGCAUCACUGGUGUUCGGGUUGUCAUGCCAAUGGCACUGCCCGGUAGCUAAAUGCGGAAGAGAUAAGUGCUGAAAGCAUCUAAGCACGAAACUUGCCCCGAGAUGAGUUCUCCCUGACUCCCUGAGAGUCCUGAAGGAACGUUGAAGACGACGACGUUGAUAGGCCGGGUGUGUAAGCGCAGCGAUGCGUUGAGCUAACCGGUACUAAUGAACCGUGAGG